ACUGAGCUUUCGACCGCGACCCCAGGUCAGACGGGAUUACCCGCUGAGUUUAAGCAUAUCAAUAAGCGGAGGA
rnacentral:rRNA from 1 species